rnacentral:tRNA from 2 species
GCCGGAGUGGCGGAAUAGGCAGACGCGCGCGACUCAAACUCGCGUUCCUUUGAGGAUUGUGGGUUCGACUCCCACCUUCGGCACCU